rnacentral:rRNA from 1 species
AACUGCUAGAAAUGGUAGCUAAUACCGGAUACGACCCUCGGCCGCAUGGUCAGGGGGUGGAAAGAAUUUUGGUCAAGGAUGGACUCGCGGCCUAUCAGGUAGUUGGUGAGGUAAUGGCUCACCAAGCCUACGACGGGUAGCCGGCCUGAGAGGGUGACCGGCCACACUGGGACUGAGACACGGCCCAGACUCCUACGGGAGGCAGCAGUGGGGAAUAUUGCACAAUGGGCGAAAGCCUGAUGCAGCAACGCCGCGUGAGGGACGACGGCCUUCGGGUUGUAAACCUCUUUUAGUAGGGAAGAAGCGAAAGUGACGGUACCUGCAGAAAAAGCACCGGCUAACUACGUGCCAGCAGCCGCGGUAAUACGUAGGGUGCAAGCGUUGUCCGGAAUUAUUGGGCGUAAAGAGCUCGUAGGCGGUUUGUCGCGUCUGCUGUGGAAUCCGGAGGCUCAACCUCCGGCCUGCAGUGGGUACGGGCAGACUAGAGUGCGGUAGGGGAGAUUGGAAUUCCUGGUGUAGCGGUGGAAUGCGCAGAUAUCAGGAGGAACA